AAAUAACAACAUAUAUUAUCCCAAACUUUAAUGCUUAAUCAAAUAAAUUUCAAUAAGUCAUAAAGACAUGAUAUAAAAAUAGAAUACCUCUAGCGAAUCAACUUAUUUUCGGGACCGUGGUGACCUCAACGACUCAAACAGUAAUAGAAAACUCGCACUAGGAACGAAAAUGAAUUGGUGAACAGUGUCGACGCUCAAAUCCUACACCCCAUCUUCUGCCAUCAAGAUUUUGACACCAUUAUAUAACAAAAAUGGAGUGAAUAUGGGGAUCAAGUUCAGCGAGUGAAGUGAGCAGAUGAGCGAAGUCGGAAUGGAAAAGCUCUUCC
rnacentral:lncRNA from 1 species